UUUGCAGUGUUAUUCUCAGGUUCUGACAUUACAUUUUUAAAUUUUGCUGCAUAAACCAUGCUAUCUAAGCAGCAAUGUGAUCUGUACCAAUAACUUGUAUAGCAAUCUUAUUUUCGUUACUGCUUAAUUUGAUCAUCUUAAAAUCUAAAUUCCUGUUAUUCUGCCAGGGCCCUUGCAUCUGAGAGCAGAGAGCUGAGGCCCCCAAGGCCUUGACUUGGCCAUCAACUGGAAGGUGUUGAUUUGGAAACUGAACUCCUUGUUGGAAACUGAACUAGCCUUCAGUUUGCAUUUUAACUACUGCACUAACCUGUCUUUCCAUAACUGAGGAAAUAUGGCAGAUUGACACAGGGAUUUGCUGACAGAGCCGCGAAGUUGCCAGAGAUCCUCCCUGUGGCCAGCCUGCACCGAUGCCCCCGGGGAGCCCCGCGCUGAGAGCCGCAGACCUGCGGGUGUGACGCAGGUGCGUGAGAAGCACAGGGAAUGUGACUCCCUAUUGAUUUUACAUUAAUGUUUGACACUUAGAGUGGGGGUCAUAUUCUGGUGGCAAUUACCCUCAAGACA
rnacentral:lncRNA from 1 species